rnacentral:lncRNA from 1 species
CCUGGCUACAUGGGUCAGCAAGCCCAAGUGUGAGCAGGAGACUACAGCCAAGGACAGACACAACAGACUCUUUAGAAGAAUGUCUGUGUGUGGGGCCAAGCACCUUCCAUGGAAGCACCGAGUUCCAAGCACCUUCCAUGGAAGUACUGAGUUCCAAGCACUUCCCAUGGAAGCACUUAGUUCCAAGUACCUCCCAUGGAAGCACUGAGUUCAGCAGUACAAUAAGCUUUCACAUGUUCUUGACACCAUCAUUUGGUCUCAUCUUCUGGACUUUGUGGAAUGAAUCUGAAGAUGAACUUAAGUGUUUAAAUCCAUUCUUCAUUGGCUCAGUAUUUUUACCAAAUGACACAGCAAAAAUAAAAAUAAAAAUAAAUAAAUAAAUAUUAGUAAUCACUCAAAAUUUAACUUAGCCAGGUAUAUGGCACAUGCCUUUAGUCCCAACACCUAGGGAGGCAGAGGCAAGUGGAUCUCUGAGUUUGAGGCCAGUCUGGUCUAUGUGGUGAGUUACAGAAUAGCCAGGGCUACAUAGAGAAACCUUGUCUCAAAACAAUAACAACAAAAACAACAGAAGAAUUCUGUAGCCAGGGCUACACAGAAAGAAACCCUGUCUCAAACACUACCACCACCAACCCCCUCUCUCAGUGAGAAACAGAGAGAGAAUUAACUUAGCUUAUAUACUGAAUGCUAGCAAAGUGCAAUUAUGGUGUUUUUUUAAAAGGCCAACUUGUUAAAAAGUGGAUCUGAUGGUGUCUGUUUUUCUAGGGAACACUUGUCACAUUGCAGAAUCAUACAGUUUUCUCCUGUGGUUGAGGAAGAAAAAAGUACCUCAAGACACAAGACACUUUGUAGUUUCAGGAACCUAAGAACAAUUACUGAUUCAAACCUACAUGCUUCAGUGACAACUAACUUCACAGCUAAAAAGAGAUCUAGAAACACAAUACUUCUAAUUUAAUGCAGGCAGGAAAACCAACUACGAAUUAGCACCUAUUAUACUCUCUGUCACUCUUCUAAGAGGGUUUCACUGUUCUUUCAAGAAAUAAGGCUAAAAUGCCAAUGAUUGCCCCAAAGGAGCCAUUCAUCGCCACUGCUCAAAGACAAAACGUUAAUUGGUAAUUGCACAUUUUAGCCUGCAGCUCCUUUAAGAGGUUUAUUCUGUAUUGCUGAGACCAGGACCUUAAGACACCCACUUCCCUAGUCACUGCAAGAGAGCCUUGAACUUAGGCUCACUUGGAAAGUGGUCGUGACUCAUCCCACAUCAAAAGCUGAGAAUCGCCAGUGUUCACAGAAAGGCUGUGAACUCCUUCCUGCAGCACAGCCUUCUACAGUCAGUGGAACAGCCCUCCCACUGCCCUCCUCCUGUGGAAGACCCUAAAUGCCAACAAACAGGACUCCCUGCUGCUUCCCAGCUCUCUCACUUCAGUUUAGAGGGCCAGGGGUGUCUCAGGGUCUCCGUGCUGAUUUAAGAGUUGGCCAUACAGCAGCAAAUCAAAGCGCCUGACCUUUAUAGAGCUAUUUGUGCUGCUCUUACACAGAUUAAACCAAGCAGGAUGUAUAUCCUGGGAGGCAGAGCCAUCUUUCACAGGAACAAAGUCUCAGGGUCUUGGGUGGGAAAGAGUCGUAACAGCCUUUCCACAUGUUAAAACAUACAUGCAAACCAGAUGUACAAAGCCACAUGGGAGUGUCUAGCCCCUCACAGUGCCACUGGAAAGCGUGGUGAUGUCCUGUAAGUGGAAUGCUGUCCCCUUCCUCCCUACACUCCAGAGAUGCUGAACAGGGAAGCAGAUGGGACAGAAAUAUGUGUCUGUAGCUUUAAAAGUCGCCCGCACGGGCCUCUCUGUGUCCCUGGGUAAACUGCAAAUGUGCCAGAACUCUGCUUCCACAGUGAUCGGUGUGGCUUCGCUGCCACCCAUGUGCAUCUGCUUUGCAAGCCUCAGUGGUCCACUAAGGAAUGAAGUAGUUCACUAAGGCUGGAAACAAGGUUAGUGGCCCCAGGGCGGCCCUUUAGGGUCUGUGUGUCUGUAAGAAAAGGAUGAGCGCUUACAAAGGAAAUCUAUCAUCACUAGAGAAGUGCUCCAAGUCUCCAGGUCACCAGGUCACCAGACGGAAGGGCUGACCUCCAGGCCAAAACCACUGCUGGGCAUCUGCAUACCAGCCCCGCCAG